rnacentral:rRNA from 1 species
UAGGGAAUCUUCCGCAAUGGAGGAAAGUCUGACGGAGCAACGCCGCGUGAACGAAGAAGGCCUUCGGGUCGUAAAGUUCUGUUGUUAGGGAAGAACAAGUACCAGAGUAACUGCUGGUACCUUGACGGUACCUAACCAGAAAGCCACGGCUAACUACGUG